GCCUGAACUCAUCGUGGUCUGUAAAUAAGACAGCAAUCCAAAGAAGUGAGGAUUUAUUCUCUCAGAGCUUGAAGUUGUUUCCAAUGCAAACAAUCCUCUGCAUCAGACAAGGACGCCCACUGACUGCAGGGACAGCUGCCAGUGAGCUGAGCUGCUGCAGAGACCAGGCAGCUGCUCGAGGAGCACAGAUGCUCUGUGUCAGGCUCCUCAUUUUGCAGCAUCUUGGUGACCUCCAGUCAAGCCCUGCUGAACACUGAAGUCGGGGAAAAAAAUCUAUUUGCAGUUAUUCUAAGGGCAAGAACUGAUGAAACUUUAAUGCUACCUGCUGCAGUGCUUCAGCAUUGAGAAGUGGAAAGUCAGUAAUUGAUCCAAAGCAUGGAAAGAAAAUCUGUAACUCAGCACCUCUUAAAUCCCAGUCCCCAGCUUGUUCAGUGGAACCAAACGGAUUCCACUCUAGAGCAAAUGGAGAAAAGGGGAAGGAUUAUCUGCCAUUAAGGACUGACACCUGCUUAGACAUAUUUUGAACGUCUCAACCUACGUUAGCUUCAUUCACUACAACUGCCACUGAGGAGGACACAAAUCUGAGCUGAACAGGAAAGCAGGUUACUCAUCUUUUGGAAGACUUUGAUCAUAAUCUGACAUUUUUUUUCUCUCUAAUCUUUAUACACAAGAGGAUGCUUCACAGGCCUCAGCGACUUUUACAGCAUGAAAAGAAUCUGAACCAUCCUAUCUUUACACUCACCUCUCAGGCCGUUAAUCAAGACAGUGAGGAACUCCAGAGAAGAAUCCCGUACUUCCCAGCAAGGACUGCAUAAACGCUUCUGCAGCACCAGAAAUACAUCUGUCAAAGACAAGCGAAAGGCUUCGAUGGACAUGAAAAGUAACAAGCCUCACCAGAGCAAUCACUGUACAGCCUCUAUAUCAUUUUAUCAGAGGCAAGCCCUUCUUUUGUUGCGGUGUGCCUCCCAUACAGGGCACUGGCAAACUACACUCCAAGAAAUUGCAAAGGAGCAAGUGAGCCAAGCAGGAAAGGUUGGUAACAGCACAUUUCAUGGGUGCUGCCUGCUGCUCUUUGUCCCAAACGGAAUAGUUUUGUUACCUUGCAGAAUCUUCUUGAUUUGCCACUGGCUGCUGAAGCACGACAUUUCAGGGGUCUUCUGAGCAAUUCUGACAAAACAAACAAAAUUCCUAGCCCUAACAACUGGAUCCUUAAGUCAUGUCAAGUUUAGUAUGUUGCUGUUGCUCCUAGAUGUGAUGGCUCCCGUCUUUCACAAGUGUCUAGCUACUAACCUGCCAAAUUUAGCUAUUACCUGCAAGCCACCCAAAACCCAAGUAAACCUCCUACAUAUGGAGACCAACAAUGUUAAGAAGGAACUGUAGUCAGACUAUUUCUCAGAACUAGAUGUUCGGGUAACAAGCUUGACUUGUGUCCUAACUCCUGUCCUUACCAUAGGAUUUGUGUUGGGACUCUCCAGGUAUGACAAAAGGAUGUCAAAUAAACUCUCUACAGGUACGUCACAUCCUGAAACACAGAGAAUGGGUAACUAAAGGUCCAAUAUUGAGAGAAAGAAAAAAAUAUUGUGCUGGAAGAUAUAAGAUUAUUAAAACUGCCUUUUGGAGAAGAAAACAAAUACAGUCCUGAAAGCAAGGGAAAAAGCUCCGACUUCUCAAAACCACUAGUUAAAACUUUUUUUAAUUACAGCAUUACCUGCACUAGCUUAUUGAUGGAAAUUAAGGCUAACCAACAGCACAGAAGAAACUGAAAAAUGAACAAACUUCAGAAAUAAAAAUGGUGGUCUUUGCUCAGAGACUGCAGUGAAGAGGUGGAAUGAAAAAGUCUGCAAUUACAUAAUGGUCAAGUAUUUCCAAAAAAAAAUUAAAAAUGAAGCACAAAUAUAACUCACCCUUCUGCUCUGACAGCACAGCCAGGACAUCAAGAGCUGACCUCUGUACUCUGAAGCAACCAAUCAAAGUUUGGCUUAUCUUGCUGCCCAGAGGAGAAGUUGGAAUGAGGAGGCCGUUACAGAAUCGUAAUAUUGUCAUGACGGAACGCAGCAAAGAUGUACCGGGUAAAUCCACUGGCAAAUGACUCUGAUGGAAGAAGAAAAAAGUUCCCAACAAAUGUCUCAAAUGUGCAGACUGGGGGUUCUUGGUCAGGACUUGUGCAAAAACUGCAAUUUCUAGUGUGUCUAUUUUUAUUGGGCCACAAACAAAUUAUCUCUCUUUUUCCCAGAGAACUAUUGCACAAAUGGAAGGAAACUCCUGUCACUCCCUGGGAAAUUAGUUCAAUUAAUUUUUCAUGGGAUCAAUAUUUGCAGGAGAAGUAGGGUAUGAGUAACAAAGCUCUUUGUCUUUGCAAGUUUCUAUACAUGUUUUGUUCUCUUAUCUGGAGUCUACUGGGCUAGAUUUUGUUAACAUACAGAAGCACCUCCCCAACCUUCAACAUAUCUUCAAGUUCUGUGAAGUUCUAUUGCACAAGUUACAACCCAUCUUAAUACUGUGCUUUAAAGACUAGUCUCAUCCCUGGGCUUUUAUUUUGCUGAGUGUUACCAGAGAGAGUAGUUCUUCCAGAUGACCGAGAGUCUGACACAGGAGACUAGCACAAGACGACUUGGAGGACAGAAGACUUUCAACAGUGGCAGGAUCAGUGACAGACUCAUCCAACAAACCUGGAGGAGCAAAGGAGAGAAGAGCUCAGGUUGCUAUUUAGUGAGCACAAAAGACAGUGAUUUUCAAGUAUGGAUGCUAAUCAAGAAUUUCAGGUGAUUAAUUUGAAUUGUAUCCCUUCAACUGCCAUCUUAUCAAUCUGCAGGAUGCUGAACUUCACUGAAAACACCGUCACUGUCAUUGACUUCUUUCAGUCUUUCUUCUCCAACAGUCCCUGCCAAGCAGAAUAGUCUCUAACUUUUCCAUCACCACAGUACCUGAAUAUUCCAGAGGCUGGGAGGCUGCUCUUAAAAUGCAGUCCAUUGGCUGAAGCAGAACAGUUACUGCCUGAAUCCUCACAUCUUGUGGGCUUCAAAGGAGGAAACAGGAGUCAACAAUAAAUCAGAAAUGCUUCAAUUCUUGCUCUAACCAUGUGCCCCAGAUGUUGAUCAGAACAACAGCAUUUUUCACCUAGUCUUCUGAUCAUGCCAGUGACUGUCAGAAGACUAAUGCAACUAUUACCAGGAUUCAAGUCUUCUUCCAAGAUUCCUUGGCUAAACCAAGAGCAGAGGAGAAAUGGCUCUGAAAAUGAUAAGCAGCCUCAGCAAGCAGUGCA